CCUACGGGAGGCAGCAGUGGGGGAUAUUGCACAAUGGGGGGAACCCUGAUGCAGCGACGCCGCGUGGGUGAAGAAGCGCCUCGGCGCGUAAAGCCCUGUCAGCAGGGAAGAAAAUGACGGUACCUGAAGAAGAAGCACCGGCUAACUACGUGCCAGCAGCCGCGGGAAUACGUAGGGGGCCAGCGUUAUCCGGAUUUACUGGGUGUAAAGGGGGCGCAGACGGCGAUGCAAGCCAGGAGUGAAAGCCCGGGGCCCAACCCCGGGACUGCUCUUGGAACUGCGUGGCUGGAGUGCAGGAGGGGCAGGCGGAAUGCCUGGUGUAGCGGUGAAAUGCGUAGAUAUCAGGAGGAACACCGGUGGCGAAGGCGGCCUGCUGGACUGCAACUGACGUUGAGGCCCGAAAGCGUGGGGAGCAAACAGGAUUAGAUACCCGAGUAGUC
rnacentral:rRNA from 1 species